rnacentral:rRNA from 1 species
AGCAGCCGCGGUAAUUCCAGCUCCAAUAGCGUAUAUUAAAGUUGUUGCAGUUAAAAAGCUCGUAGUUGAAUUUCGGAAUCAAUUUGUUGGUCGUGCCUCGGUACGUACUGGUAUUAUUGGUUUCUACCUUCUGAAGAACCUUGAUGUCAUUAAUUUGGUGUCUUGGGGAAUCAGGACCGUUACUUUGAAAAAUUAGAGUGUUUAAAGCAAGCAUACGCUUGAAUACAUUAGCAUGGAAUAAUGAAAUAGGACGUUUGAUUCUAUUUUGUUGGUUUCUAGGAUCGACGUAAUGAGUUAAUAGGGAUAGUUGGGGGCAUUAGUAUUCAAUUGUCAGAGGG